UGCGUAGGCGGGCUAAUAAGUCAGUGGUGAAAACCUGCAGCUUAACUGUAGAACUGCCAUUGAUACUGUUAGUCUUGAGUACGGUCAAGGUAGGCGGAAUGUGUAAUGUAGCGGUGAAAUGCUUAGAUAUUACACAGAACACCGAUUGCGAAGGCAGCUUACUGGGCCAUUACUGACGCUGAGGCACGAAAGCGUGGGGAGCGAACAGGAUUAGAUACCCUGGUAGUCC
rnacentral:rRNA from 1 species